ACUUGCUGCUGUACCACUCUGAGCAUGCCUGAUCUCAUUUGAUCUCAGACUCUACGCAGGCCUAGUUAGUACAGUACAAUCUGGGAAUACCAGGUGCAGUAAGAU
ensembl:rRNA 5S_rRNA 5S ribosomal RNA